rnacentral:rRNA from 1 species
CCUACGGGAGGCAGCAGUGAGGAAUAUUGGACAAUGGGUGGAAGCCUGAUCCAGCCAUCCCGCGUGCAGGAAGACGGCCCUAUGGGUUGUAAACUGCUUUUAUCUGGGGAUAAACCUACUUACGUGUAAGUAGCUGAAGGUACCAGAAGAAUAAGCACCGGCUAACUCCGUGCCAGCAGGCGCGGUAAU